rnacentral:rRNA from 1 species
GGAAUCUUCGGCAAUGGACGAAAGUCUGACCGAGCAGCGCCGCGUGAGUGAAGAAGGUUUUCGGAUCGUAAAACUCUGUUGGUAGAGAAGAACGUUGGUGAGAGUGGAAAGCUCAUCAAGUGACGGUAACUACCCAGAAAGGGACGGCUAACUACGUGCCAG